AACGAACGCUGGCGGCAUGCCUAACACAUGCAAGUCGAACGAGACCUUCGGGUCUAGUGGCGCACGGGUGCGUAACGCGUGGGAACCUGCCCUUAGGUUCGGAAUAACUCCCCGAAAGGGGUGCUAAUACCGGAUAAUGUCUUCGGACCAAAGAUUUAUCGCCUUUGGAUGGGCCCGCGUUGGAUUAGCUAGUUGGUAGGGUAAAAGCCUACCAAGGCGACGAUCCAUAGCUGGUCUGAGAGGAUGAUCAGCCACACUGGGACUGAGACACGGCCCAGACUCCUACGGGAGGCAGCAGUGGGGAAUAUUGGACAAUGGGCGAAAGCCUGAUCCAGCAAUGACGCGUGAGUGAUGAAGGCCUUAGGGUUGUAAAGCUCUUUUACCCGGGAUGAUAAUGACAGUACCGGGAGAAUAAGCACCGGCUAACUCCGUG
rnacentral:rRNA from 1 species